rnacentral:rRNA from 1 species
AUUGAACGCUGGCGGCAGGCCUAACACAUGCAAGUCGAACGAGUGGCGGACGGGUGAGUAAUGUCUGGGAAACUGCCUGAUGGAGGGGGAUAACUACUGGAAACGGUAGCUAAUACCGCAUACCAUCAGAUGUGCCCAGAGGGGAUUAGCUAGUAGGUGGGGUAACGGCUCACCUAGGCGACGAUCCCUAGCUGGUCUGAGAGGAUGACCAGCCACACGGGAACUGGGACACGGUCCAGACUCCUACGGGAGGCAGCAGGGGGGAAGAUGGCACAAUGGGCGCAAGCCUGAUACAUCCAUGCCGCGUGGAUGAAGAAGGCCUUCGGGUUGUAAAGUACUUUCAGCGGGGCGGCGUUACCCUCAGAAGAAGCACCGGCUAACUCCGUGCCAGCAGCCGCGGUAAUAC